UGGCGGCAGGGCUAACACAUGCAAGUCGAGCGGCAGCGCGGGGGCAACCCUGGCGGCGAGCGGCGGACGGGUGAGGAACACAUCGGAAUCUACCUUGUCGUGGGGGAUAACGUAGGGAAACUUACGCUAAUACCGCAUACGACCUACGGGUGAAGGCGGCGGACCGCAAGGCGUCGCGCGAUUGGAUGAGCCGAUGUCCGAUUAGCUAGUUGGCGGGGUAAAGGCCCACCAAGGCGACGAUCGGUAGCUGGUCUGAGAGGACGACCAGCCACACUGGAACUGAGACACGGUCCAGACUCCUACGGGAGGCAGCAGUGGGGAAUAUUGGACAAUGGGCGGAAGCCUGAUCCAGCAACGCCGCGUGAGGGAUGACGGCCUUCGGGUUGUAAACCUC
rnacentral:rRNA from 1 species